rnacentral:lncRNA from 1 species
GUGAAACAGUAUAUGGCAGGAGGCCAAGACACCUCUCAGUUGGGAAGAGGAGCAGUGCUUUUGGCAGGUGGUUUAUCUGGAGCUUGUUUCUGGUUCUCUGUUUACCCCACUGAUGUUGUCAAGAGUGUUAUUCAGGUCGAUGAUUACAAAAAUCCCAAAUUCUCUGGUUCCAUUGAUGCCUUCAAAAAGAUCCUGAAAUCAGAAGGUGUCAAAGGCUUGUACAAGGGUUUCGCCCCUGCCAUGGCCAGAAGUGUUCCUGCAAAUGCUGCAUGCUUCUUGGCGUAUGAAGUGACAAGAUCUAGUUUGGGAUGAUUGUUUCAUUGCUCCAUGAUUGGUGUCCAAUGAUUUGGGUGAUCAUUAGCCGCACUUAUCAUAUUGCUUAUUUCGAAGACAUCUUCCAGUCACCAAAUG